AGUGAACGCUGGCGGUAGGCCUAACACAUGCAAGUCGAACGGCAGCACAGUAAGAGCUUGCUCUUACGGGUGGCGAGUGGCGGGCGGGUGAGGAAUACAUCGGAAUCUACUUUUUCGUGGGGGAUAACGUAGGGAAACUUACGCUAAUACCGCAUACGACCUACGGGUGAAAGCAGGGGAUCUUCGGACCUUGCGCGAUUGAAUGAGCCGAUGUCGGAUUAGCUAGUUGGCGGGGUAAAGGCCCACCAAGGCGGCGAUCCGUAGCUGGUCUGAGAGGAUGAUCAGCCACACUGGAACUGAGACACGGUCCAGACUCCUACGGGAGGCAGCAGUGGGGAAUAUUGGACAAUGGGCGCAAGCCUGAUCCAGCCAUACCGCGUGGGUGAAGAAGGCCUUCGGGUUGUAAAGCCCUUUUGUUGGGAAAGAAAAGCAGCAGGUUAAUACCCCGCUGUUCUGACGGUACCCAAAGAAUAAGCACCGGCUAACUUCGUG
rnacentral:rRNA from 1 species